UACGAAGGGGGCAAGCGUUGCUCGGAUUUAUUGGGCGUAAAGGGUGUGUAGGUGGUUUGAUAAGUUAGGUGUGAAAGCCCUGGGCUUAACCCGGGAAUUGCACUUAAAACUAUCAGACUUGAAGAUCACAGAGGUAAGCAGAAUUUCCAGUGUAGAGGUGAAAUUCGUAGAUAUUGGAAAGAAUACCAACGGCGUAGGCAGCUUACUGGGUGAUACUUGACACUGAGGCACGAAAGCGUGGGGAGCAAACAGG
rnacentral:rRNA from 1 species